rnacentral:piRNA from 1 species
UUCAUUCAUCUGGUGGUCAAGAGCGUGC